UACGAGGGGGGCGAGCGUUGUUCGGAAUUAUUGGGCGUAAAGGGUGCGUAGGCGGUUUGGUAAGUCUCUUGUGAAAUCUAUGGGCUCAACUCAUAGUCUGCAAGGGAAACUGCCGGGCUUGAGUGUGGGAGAGGUGAGUGGAAUUUCCGGUGUAGCGGUGAAAUGCGUAGAUAUUGGGAGGAACACCAGUGGCGAAGGCGGCUCACUGGACCGGUACUGACGCUGAUGCGCGAAAGCGUGGGGAGCAAACGGG
rnacentral:rRNA from 1 species